rnacentral:rRNA from 1 species
GUUUGAUCCUGGCUCAGGACGAACGCUGGCGGCGUGCUUAACACAUGCAAGUCGAACGGAAAGGCCCUGCUUGCAGGGUACUCGAGUGGCGAACGGGUGAGUAACACGUGAGUAACCUGCCCCUGACUCUGGGAUAACUGCUGGAAACGGUGGCUAAUACCGGAUAUGAGAUGGCCCUGCAUGGGGUUGUCUGGAAAGAUUUUUUGGUUGGGGAUGGGCUCGCGGCCUAUCAGCUUGUUGGUGGGGUAAUGGCCUACCAAGGCGGCGACGGGUAGCCGGCCUGAGAGGGUGGACGGCCACAUUGGGACUGAGAUACGGCCCAGACUCCUACGGGAGGCAGCAGUGGGGAAUAUUGCACAAUGGGGGAAACCCUGAUGCAGCGACGCCGCGUGAUUUAGAAGGCCUUCGGGUUGUAAAAAUCUUUUGUAUGGGAAGAAAAUGACAGUACCAUACGAAUAAGGACCGGCUAAUUACGUGCCAGCAGCCGCGGUAAUAC